GGGCGGGCCACGGCGCCCGAACACAGCCUUAAGUGUGAAGGGAGAAAACUCGACAGCAGCGGGCCGAAACGUCGCUCCUCCUGUGAAGGGAAGCACACCUGACAGUGAGGGGUGACACAGCUCCUCCUAUUAGAAAUAUGUUCAGAGACUAGUGUCCGAACGGCACCUCUCCAGGACUGGUGCUGCCACAUACACAUCUGGAGUCUCCAGCAUCUGUGGCACAGAGCCUGUCAAGCCUCCUACUAAUACCACUCCAGAUGCUGAUGGCUCUAUCUUUCCCAGGCAAAGGGGGCUGGAAUCUCCAAGGACAACCAUUUUUCCAGCAAUGCCUUUGG